rnacentral:misc_RNA from 1 species
AAAUGCUAUAUCUUGUUCUAAAAUAUGAAAAAUGAUGUUAAUUCAUAGUUUUGAACCAAUUAAAGAACUAUCAAACAAUCUGCAACAUGAAUAACUUAAAAUGAGAUGCUGAGAUUAUGAAAUCUAGUAUUUAGUAGCUUGUUUCUCAUGGAAACCAGUAUGUUCGUUCCUACUCGGUAACAAAGUAUUUCAGGUCAAUUUUUCCAUCAGAGAUUUGUGAGGCCUCACGGUAAUCCAUCAAAACACAAAAUGAGUGCAAGGUGACGCUGCCAAAUUUUCAGUUUGCAGAAAAUGGAUUCAUGGAUGCCUGUAUUUCUUCCAAUGUUCG